CACUCCUGCGGGAGGCAGCAGUGGGGAAUAUUGGACAAUGGGCGCAAGCCUGAUCCAGCCAUGCUGCGUGAGUGAUGAAGGCCCUAGGGUUGUAAAGCUCUUUCACCGGUGAAGAUAAUGACGGUAACCGGAGAAGAAGCCCCGGCUAACUUCGUGCCAGCAGCCGCGGUAAUACGAAGGGGGCUAGCGUUGUUCGGAUUUACUGGGCGUAAAGCGCACGUAGGCGGACUAUUAAGUCAGGGGUGAAAUCCCGGGGCUCAACCCCGGAACUGCCUUUGAUACUGGUAGUCUUGAGUUCGAGAGAGGUGAGUGGAAUUCCGAGUGUAGAGGUGAAAUUCGUAGAUAUUCGGAGGAACACCAGUGGCGAAGGCGGCUCACUGGCUCGAUACUGACGCUGAGGUGCGAAAGCGUGGGGAGCAAACAGGAUUAGAUACCCCGGUAGUCCCAUG
rnacentral:rRNA from 1 species